rnacentral:rRNA from 1 species
CAACAGGGAUUGCCCUAGUAACGGCGAGUGAAGCGGCAACAGCUCAAAUUUGAAAUCUGGCUCUCGGGCCCGAGUUGUAAUUUGUAGAGGAUGCUUUUGGUGAGGUGCCUUCCGAGUUCCCUGGAACGGGACGCCAUAGAGGGUGAGAGCCCCGUCUGGUUGGACACCGAUCCUCUGUAAAGCUCCUUCGACGAGUCGAGUAGUUUGGGAAUGCUGCUCUAAAUGGGAGGUAUAUGUCUUCUAAAGCUAAAUACCGGCCAGAGACCGAUAGCGCACAAGUAGAGUGAUCGAAAGAUGAAAAGAACUUUGAAAAGAGAGUUAAAAAGUACGUGAAAUUGUUGAAAGGGAAGCGCUUGUGACCAGACUUGGGCUUGGUUGAUCAUCCAGGGUUCUCCCUGGUGCACUCUUCCGGCCCAGGCCAGCAUCAGUUCGCCCUGGGGGAAAAAGGCUUCGGGAAUGUGGCUCUCUCCGGGGAGUGUUAU